rnacentral:rRNA from 1 species
CUACGGGUGGCAGCAGUGAGGAAUAUUGCACAAUGGGGGGAACCCUGAUGCAGCAACGCCGCGUGGAGGAUGACGCAUUUCGGUGUGUAAACUCCUUUUAUAUGUCAAGAAAAUGACGGUAGCAUAUGAAUAAGCACCGGCUAACUCCGUGCCAGCAGCCGCGGUAAUACGGAGGGUGCAAGCGUUACUCGGAAUCACUGGGCGUAAAGGACGCGUAGGCGGGUUGGAAAGUCAGGUGUGAAAUCCUACAGCUUAACUGUAGAACUGCACUUGAAACUUCUAAUCUAGAGUAUGGGAGGGGGGGAUGGAAUUAGUGGUGUAGGGGAAAAAUCCGUAGAUAUCACUAGGAAUACCUAAAGCGAAGGCGAUCUCCUGGAACAUUACUGACGCUAAGGCGUGAAAGCGUGGGGAGCAAACAGGAUUAGAUACCCCCGUAGUC